rnacentral:rRNA from 1 species
UACGUAGGCAGCGAGCGUUGUUCGGAAUUACUGGGCGUAAAGAGUGUGUAGGCGGUGCUCUAAGUUCGGUGUGAAAUCCCUCGGCUUAACCGGGGAACUGCGUCUGAUACUGGAUGGCUUGAAUCCGGGAGAGGGAUGCGGAAUUCCAGGUGUAGCGGUGAAAUGCGUAGAUAUCUGGAGGAACACCGGUGGCGAAGGCGGCAUCCUGGACCGGCAUUGACGCUGAGGAGCGAAAGCCAGGGGAGCAAACGGG